rnacentral:tRNA from 2 species
GCCGGAAUAGCUCAGUUGGUAGAGCAGGGGACUGAAAAUCCUCGUGU